rnacentral:lncRNA from 1 species
CGCAUUCAAUUUCAGUGGCAUAUUUCUCUUUUACUCAAGGAUAGACAAAAAAAAAUUAUUAUUAUUAUUUUUUUUUUUGGAAACGAUUAAGGAUAGACAAUAUAAGUCAAUAUUCUUCUGCCAUGUCCUACUUUAUAUACAUAUAUAAUUUUUGUUUAUGGUUAACAAAUUUACUCUUUCCAUCCGUUAGGAAACAAAAAAAAAAGAAAAGCAAAGAGGAGUCAAAAUAGUGUUAGUUAAUAGUUUUCUCUCGAGGCUUAAUAAUGGGGAUAUAGUGAGAAGAAGAAAAUUUCAGGACAGCGUCAUCCUCAAGUAAAAUAGUGUACUACUUUUGUUUAAAUAUCUCGAUCGAGUUGCUUACCAAAAUUCUUGAACCGAUGAAAAAACUAGUUCUUCUGACUUCUCUCACAUAGAUUUUUUUUUUUUUUACUUACAAAUCAACAAAUCUAUGUACGUAGUAGGUGUAAAACUAGUUUUUGAACUAAACCAAAUUAAAUAUCGAUAUCGUACCGAUGAUUCCGAAAUUUCUAUAUACUAAAGACAUGAUAG